rnacentral:rRNA from 1 species
CGGGGGGCAAGUAGAGUGGCGCACGGGUGAGUAACACGUAGGUAAUCUACCUUUGGAUUGGGAAUAACAACCGGAAACGGUUGCUAAUACCGAAUAAUGCAGCGGCACCUAGUGGUGACAGUUGUUAAAGCGGGGGAUCGCAAGACCUCGCGUCUGAAGAGGAGCCUGCGGCAGAUUAGCUAGUUGGUAAGGUAACGGCUUACCAAGGCUAUGAUCUGUAGCCGGCCUGAGAGGGCGGUCGGCCACACUGACACUGACAUACGGGUCAGACUCCUACGGGAGGCAGCAGUCGGGAAUUUUGGGCAAUGGGCGCAAGCCUGACCCAGCAACGCCGCGUGAAGGAUGAAAUCCUUCGGGAUGUAAACUUCGCAAGAACGGGAAGAAUAAGUAAGAGUUAAUAUCUCUUACGAUGACGGUACUGUUUGUAAGCUCCGGCUAACUCCGUGCUAGCCGCCGCGGUAAUUC